AUUGAACGCUGGCGGCAGGCCUAACACAUGCAAGUCGAGCGGAUGAAGGGAGCUUGCUCCUGGAUUCAGCGGCGGACGGGUGAGUAAUGCCUAGGAAUCUGCCUGGUAGUGGGGUAUAACGUCCGGAAACGGGCGCUAAUACCGCAUACGUCCUGAGGGAGAAAGUGGGGGAUCUUCGGACCCCACGCUAUCAGAUGAGCCUAGGUCGGAUUAGCUAGUUGGUGGGGUAAAGGCCUACCAAGGCGACGAUCCGUAACUGGUCUGAGAGGAUGAUCAGUCACACUGGAACUGAGACACGGACAAGAGUACUACGGGAGGCAGCAGUGGGGAAUAUUGGGCAAUGGGCGAAAGCCUGAUCCAGCCAUGCCGCGUGUGUGAAGAAGGUCUUCGGAUUGUAAAGCACUUUAAGUUGGGAGGAAGGGCAGUAAGUUAAUACCUUGCUGUUUUGACGUUACCAACAGUAUAAGCACCGGCUAACUUCGUG
rnacentral:rRNA from 1 species